ncrna:Prevotella brevis ATCC 19188 L13-Bacteroidia ribosomal protein leader
GGGGAGAGUCUUAGAAUCCCCACGGGCGUCGUGUAAAUAGUGACUGUCUUUGGCCGGAUGGCACGGUUUGGGAAUC